rnacentral:rRNA from 1 species
AGCGAACGCUGGCGGCAUGCCUAACACAUGCAAGUCGAACGAGACCUUCGGGUCUAGUGGCGCACGGGUGCGUAACGCGUGGGAACCUGCCCUUAGGUUCGGAAUAACUCCCCGAAAGGGGUGCUAAUACCGGAUAAUGUCUUCGGACCAAAGAUUUAUCGCCUCUGGAUGGGCCCGCGUUGGAUUAGCUAGUUGGUAGGGUAAAAGCCUACCAAGGCGACGAUCCAUAGCUGGUCUGAGAGGAUGAUCAGCCACACUGGGACUGAGACACGGCCCAGACUCCUACGGGAGGCAGCAGUGGGGAAUAUUGGACAAUGGGCGAAAGCCUGAUCCAGCAAUGCCGCGUGAGUGAUGAAGGCCUUAGGGUUGUAAAGCUCUUUUACCCGGGAUGAUAAUGACAGUACCGGGAGAAUAAGCUCCGGCUAACUCCGU